UUUUUGGCUGCUUGCUGGAAAAAAAAAUUAUUGCAGAGAUGAAUUGUCAGGACAUCCGCUCCCCUUCCCAUCAGCUUUAUAAACAUUUUGUACUGGAGGCAGUGUGUGUGUGCAGAAGAAACGCUAUGGAAAGUGCUGUAGAAACAAGUGUGGUUUGUUGGCUACCAAAUCUCAAGGCUAUGCUCACUGGUCAGAAUGGUUGGUGUCCAGACCCCCAGCCCCUCAGAUUCUGAGAUGUCUGUGUACCAGGGUAGCACCAGGGAUGGGUUUUCUCUGAGACUGUCUUUUCAUGAUACAGUGUAAAAUGUUUCCCAUGAAAGGGCAGAGCUGAAGAAGCAGUGCAAGUCCAUUUGAAGACCUCUGGAAGGAAACCCCCAGCGGCUCUUUUUUCACUGAACAAGCAUUGUGGGAAUUUGGGGCUCGGCUGUGUAAUUUGUCCUCUUCUCAUUCAUUCAGGACAUGUUCAGCACCAGGAGGAAUUUGCAUCCAAGUCCGUCUCCCUGCUAAGUGGUAUUUUGAGAAUUCCGAAGCUUAGUCUCAGAGAAGAGCUGACCUGAACUUGCCGAGGCUCCCACUGCAUUGUAGCUUUUCUCUGGAGAACAAAAACUGCCAUUGUCCAGCAGCUCAUUAGCAUGACUGUACAGCCUCCGGAGUUAGCAAGGUGAUGCAAAAAUAAUAUGACAAGAUCCAUGUCUUCAAUGAGCUACAAUCCUACUGGGACAUGAGACUGUGCUUAUAAUAUGAUGAAAGAAUAAGAAAAUUUUAAAGAUGAAAACACAGCAGCAACAGGUGCCAUUUUGGAAGCAAGAAGCAGAGAACAAGCUCUCACUGGGCAUUAAAUCUGCCGGCAUCUUGAUCUUGAACUUCUCAACCUCCAGAACUCUGAGAAAUAAAUUUCUAUUAUUUAC
rnacentral:lncRNA from 1 species